UAGUAAGGAUUCACUUCCUGGCUGUCUACUGUAGCGUUAAUAAUCAGCUACGGUCAGCAGUUACUGCAUGAAAAUGGUUUGCAGAUUAUUCAGCAAGGAAGUUCUGUCCCACAAAAGCAAAUCAUUUAUACUCUUUACAGCCUGCUUAUACUAAAAUAUUUUAUGUUUUAUGUCCAUUUUGAGAGUCUGAGAUGUACUGAAGUCUAGUUUUUCAUGAAUGUUAUUUUGAUAUUAAAUACAAGCAGAAAAAAAUUUCUCCAAGAUUUCUAAGGAUAAUUUUUUUCUUUGCUUUUUCAAACUGGAACAUUUUCUACAACUACAUUUUGUUCUUCAGGGAGAUUCAUGGGGAAGAAAGUCAAGAUGUGAAUGAGUACGGGGAGCUGUUUUCUGCUGUACCUUCCUUUGGCAUUUGGAAGAAAAGCACGCAGAUGAGAAAUACUCAAAACAAACUGUUGGUACGUUCCUUGUCAGCAGCAUCCUUUUGUCGCGGUGACUUCAUCUGAAAGUUUGAAAUGGAAGAGUACAGGAGCCACACUCCAAAG